rnacentral:rRNA from 1 species
ACGGGGGGGGUAAGCGUUGUUCGGAAUUACUGGGCGUAAAGGGCUCGUAGGCGGCCAACUAAGUCAGACGUGAAAUCCCUCAGCUUAACUGGGGAACUGCGUCUGAUACUGGAUGGCUUGGAUUUGGGAGAGGAAUGCGGAAUUCCAGGUGUAGCGGUGAAAUGCGUAGAUAUCUGGAGGAACACCGGUGGCGAAGGCGGCCUGCUGGGCAGUAGCUGACGCUGAGGCGCGACAGCGUGGGGAGCAAACAGGA